rnacentral:rRNA from 1 species
UACGGAGGGGCUAGCGUUGUUCGGAUUUACUGGGCGUAAAGCGCACGUAGGCGGAUCGAUCAGUCAGGGGUGAAAUCCCAAGAGCUCAACUCUGGAACUGCCUUUGAUACUGUCGAUCUGGAGUAUGGAAGAGGUGAGUGGAAUUCCGAGUGUAGAGGUGAAAUUCGUAGAUAUUCGGAGGAACACCAGUGGCGAAGGCGGCUCACUGGUCCAUUACUGACGCUGAGGUGCGAAAGCGUGGGGAGCAAACAGG